CAAAGGUGAACAGGACACAAUUCUCUACCUUUUCAUACUAACUGACUUUUGAACCAUGUGACUAUGAUACCUAGUCAACUAUUAAUUUAAAAUAUAAAAUAACCACAUUGAGAGGAAAAGGAGAAGGAUGACAGUGAAAAGGCCAGGAAAUUUGGUCCCGAGGAAGAUCUCAGUGGAAGCCAGACUGGAGAGGAUCUGACUGGAGGAGAAUAGAUGGGCUGUGAGGAAACAGAGACAUUGAGUGCAUAUAUAUACAAGCAUAGGCUGAUUACCUAUGCGUACACUAUUUUUGGAAGGGGAGAUAUGAAAUUGAUAACAGUGGAUAACCCUGGGAAGAGAAAUUAUGAAUAAGGAAACACCUGCCCACUUAUAUAAUUUUUUAUCAUUUAUUUAUAUAUAUAUAUAUUUCUACUGCACAGCAUAGUGACCCAGUUACACUUACAUGUACACCUUCUUUUUUCUCACAUAUUCCAUCAUAAGUGACUCAACAGAGUUCCCAUAUAAUUUGAAUUUCACUCCAUGAACAUUGAUUAUCUAUCCCCCAAAUAACAUUUUAAACAAAACUGUGUUAGGAAGAGUAGAAGGAAGGAAGGAGGAAGGGCCAGAGGGAGGGAGACCACCUCUCACUUAAAAUGGGGCAGCAAAGAGGGCAAAUGAGCCAGGUAGGUUCAUAGGGGCCAAGAGAGUCAAGUUGGGUGGGUUUUUUUUAUCACUUCCUCUGUCCCAACAUGAGGCAAUGUGGUCAUCGGAAAGACUAAGGCAUUCUGACAUCUGAAUUUUGGGGACGUUCCCUUGUGGCAAGGCAGGUUCAGUAUCUGGCAUUGCCGCAACUAAGGUGUGGGUUUGAUCCCUGGCCCGAGAACGUCCAUGGGUGCUGCUGGAAGGAAGGAAGGAAGGAAUCUGAAUUUUGAAUAUCAGCUCUGCCACCUACUAGUACAAUGUAGUCUGGAAACCUUCUCAGCCUUGAUUUCUGCCUCUUAGAAUAGGGACACUACUAUGUACAUCUCAUACGCUAUAUUAUUUCAUCCUGAGAGUCUAAUCCACCUAUGGAAGCACAUCCUAGGAAAGCCUGGGAAUGACUUAUCUGUGUGACCCUCUUUUCUCCAACACCAUGGCACACGAAAUGUGGGUAGAGGAGUAGUUAAUACUGGUAUCGGAAAAAGAAUGGGAGGCACCACAAGAGGGGUUAGAAACCCAACUCCAAAGUAGCAUGGGACAAGCACAGGAUUUGGGGUCAGACCCAGCUGGCUUCAAAUCACAGCUCUACCAUUUACUGGCUUUAUGAUUUUGAGAAUGUUGCUUGGCCUCUCGGAACCUCAUUUUCUUUUCAUCUGUAAUAUAGGAAUCCCAUCAGUUAAUUUACAGUAGUGAUGAGAAGAUUAGAGAUUAUGCACAUAAAACUCCCAGAACAUAAUUGGCAUUUAGUUCAUGGUAGCUUUGAUCAUCCCCAGCCCAGAGUUAAGGCUCCUAAGCACACGAAAACAGCAAAGCCAAUUUCCCACUGUGCCCUUCCAUUCCCUUGCUCCCUCAAACCAGCCCUCUGAAAAUAAAAGCACAUCAGCCAUCCCUUUGAUUUUUCAAGCACCUAUGAGGUCACCCAAAGCAUUCCCUCCUGCCCUUUGAACUUUUAAUUCAUUCUCAAAUGAUUUACUGGCUGCCUGGCCUCCAAAUGACCAUGCUAGCAGUCAUGUCCUUCCUCUCUGAGGCUCUGUCCUUUUGAUAACAGCAGUGCCCUUGAUGGGGUUACCUUUCCCACACUCAGGGAGCAUGCUUCCAAGACAGAAUUGACAACUUUGAAAGGACCUCAACGGGAACAGCAGUGAGGAGCAAGCUAACCCUCUGUUUCUCCCUCCCAUGCCUGCAAAGGCUGAAUUAUCUCCUCUAAGACUCUGAGAUUGGUGUGCUCCUUGCAAAAUUACUAUGUGAUCCUGAUAAGGAUAAGCAUUUCCCUAGGGUCCCUUUCAAAGUCUGUUCCUAAAGUUUGCUCCAGUCACCAAACUCUCUAGCACCAGUCUGGGCAGGAACAACUCAGAGAAGCCCCCACAGUGUGUCUUAAACGGUCACAGUACUGCCAGCGUGAGUUUCAGCGUAUUUCCUUUAGUGCCCUGACAUAACCUCAUCGACUUCCACAGAGACAGCUACCAAUUCGAUGAGACCCCCAUUAAGGAAGGAGGACGGGGCUGGUUCCUUUUGGCUCUUUUCAGCAUGCUCAGCUUUGAGUAAAAGAGUGAGAAAAGGAAUGUCAUGGUCAAAUAACGAGGACACUUGAGGCACUAGGUAUAAAUACCAGACGGUGACUCACAUCUAAGGCUAGUCAGACAGAACACGUUAGGACUUGCUUAAGCAAAAGUGAAAACAUACACACACACACACACACACACAGCAGGUUCACAUAAAGCUAUUUCCUUUCAGCGGGAGCAAUGAAACACUUGAGUCAGGAAGAAGACUCACACUAUACCCGCCCUGAACACAUAGCAACAAGAGGGGUGGCUGCUGUUUUAAGAGUCUCGCAGCAACGCUUCCCAACAGCAAGGGAAUGCUGUAAUCAUCAGCCAGCAGGCCUCUCCCACAUGCGAGCCUUGGGAACACACAGCUUACACGCAGGAGCUGCAGCCGCGAGAAACCCAACCGUUGCAAAGCCCAGCUCCAGGCAGCUCUUGGACAAGCAGGCAGUAAAGCAUGUGAUGCUGCACAGAAAAAAAAAAAAG